CCUACGGGAGGCAGCAGUAAGGAAUAUUGGUCAAUGGACGAAAGUCUGAACCAGCCAUGCCGCGUGAAGGAUGAAGGUCCUCUGGAUUGUAAACUUCUUUUAUCUGGGACGAAAAAAGGGCUUUCUAGCUCACUUGACGGUACCAGAGGAAUAAGCACCGGCUAACUCCGUGCCAGCAGCCGCGGUAAUACGGAGGGUGCAAGCGUUAUCCGGAUUUACUGGGUUUAAAGGGUGCGUAGGUGGGCAAUUAAGUCAGUGGUGAAAUCUCUGGGCUUAACCCGGAAACUGCCAUUGAUACUAUUUGUCUUGAAUAUCCUGGAGGUAGGCGGAAUAUGUCAUGUAGCGGUGAAAUGCUUAGAUAUGACAUAGAACACCCAUUGCGAAGGCAGCUUACUACAGGAUUAUUGACACUGAGGCACGAAAGCGUGGGGAUCAAACAGGAUUAGAUACCCUGGUAGUCCACGCCCUAAACGAUGGAUACUCGACAUCAGCGAUACACUGUUGGUGUCUGAGCGAAAGCAUUAAGUAUCCCACCUGGGAAGUACGACCGCAAGGUUGAAACUCAAAUGAAAUUGACGG
rnacentral:rRNA from 1 species